AAUCCGUAUUGUGGACACUUCCGCAAGAGAUCUUUAAAUCACUCCCACUUCUCAAACAAAGAUUCAAGAUCCAUCUGAACAAACGAUAAUAUCUCAUUACGAGGCU